rnacentral:lncRNA from 1 species
AUCAGUAUACAAAUAAAUAAAUGUCGGUCAUAGGCUCAUAGCUGGCAAGAACUUAUUUUGUAAAGGAUUAAAAUUAUAGUUCAAGCAAGGGAACAGGGUGGAUAAAAUAUUUCAAGUCCUCGAAGAAAUAAUGUCCAUUCCCUUUAAGGAGGCUCCAUUUACUUGUAAUGUAAGCAAAUUCCCAACUAUCAAUUGCUACAGCAUCGUAGAUAUAUAAUUGAUUAGUGAAAAUCAAUUAUUUUGUGUUGAGAGUAAGUUAUUUCAAGCAAAUGUACAAGGAAUGGAUCUCACUGCCAUUUGCCUGUCAAAAGUUCGAACUAGUAAGUUGGACAAAACAAAAUUUGAGAAAGCAAAUCAGAAAAAAAUAAAAUAUCACGGGUGCCAUUUGUGUGUUUGUUGGUGAAGAAGAGUACAGAUAGUCACAAGAAAGUGAGAUCAACGAACAACAAAGUCCAUAGAUGCACAAUUUGACAAAAUCAAUGUCAUUUCUUUAGCCAAAAGAUGCUGUCCUUAGAUUUUCAUAGGAUUAUGUUUGAGACUAGUAACCACUUUAACGUGAUCAUAGGUAAACUCCAAUAUCUAAUAUGUUAAACUCAACACUAUAGAGGACACAAUGGACUAACAUUUCACGUGCCUAGGUCAGAAUUACUCCUUUUCACCCACCAAGUAAAAUUUCCAGGGUUCUCAAUAACCAUGUACAUGGGAGCAAUAAACAUUUUUUUUUUUUACCAAGUUAAAUCGUCCACACCAGUGAACUGCAUCCACCAAACAUCCAAAAAAGGCUAAUCCGUACUCAAAAUCCAACGGCAUGGUUGGUAGGGAUAGAACAAUUAUAAGAAAAUGAAAAAAGAAAAGUUAAUUCUUAUUUACUGUACUAUUCAAUCAUGUCUGUUAUCACGUACUGAACAUGCCCAAAUCGUAGUACACAUGCAACACUAGUAGUCUCAUAUAUUACCUUGAGGGGUUGUAACUUUUAUGUCCUUUUUAAGGCAAGUGACCUCAAAAAGAAUGGUGCAUUCAGCUACAAACCUGCUGUCUUAUUGCAAAUGAAAAUGCAGUUAAGAAAGUAGCAUCCCAAUAAGAUGGGGAGGAAAUGAAAUCUAGUUGCACUAGAAAAAGAUCCAAUGUCACAUAGAUAUAAUAUACAAGUGUUAUUCACUAUAUGGGCGACGUGGGAAAACAUAAAAAAGUUUAUUUGAUAAACAAAUCCUGAUUGGUUCUAUAGUAAACUGUAAAGAGUCCCUAUUGAUGUGCCAUCAAAGGGGAAGAUGCAUGAACCAUAUCUAGUGGUGUGCAAGUGGGGCCUUAUGCAGGAAUUAUUUAUAUUAACUUUAUCU